UAAUAGGUUUUGGGCAAUGAUGGAGCCGUGAAUGAGUCAGGGUCGGAAGACAGCAGCUAUAAGCGGUGAAGUCAUGUGCCUUUUUUAUUUUUAAAAU
rnacentral:SRP_RNA from 1 species